rnacentral:rRNA from 1 species
AGUGAACGCUGGCGGUAGGCCUAACACAUGCAAGUCGAACGGCAGCACAGUAAGAGCUUGCUCUUACGGGUGGCGAGUGGCGGACGGGUGAGGAAUACAUCGGAAUCUACUUUUUCGUGGGGGAUAACGUAGGGAAACUUACGCUAAUACCGCAUACGACCUACGGGUGAAAGCAGGGGAUAUUCGGACCUUGCGCGAUUGAAUGAGCCGAUGUCGGAUUAGCUAGUUGGCGGGGUAAAGGCCCACCAAGGCGACGAUCCGUAGCUGGUCUGAGAGGAUUAUCAGCCACACUGGAACUGAGACACGGUCCAGACUCCUACGGGAGGCAGCAGUGGGGAAUAUUGGACAAUGGGCGCAAGCCUGAUCCAGCCAUACCGCGUGGGUGAAGAAGGCCUUCGGGUUGUAAAGCCCUUUUGUUGGGAAAGAAAAGCAGCAGGUUAAUACCCCGCUGUUCUGACGGUACCCAAAGAAUAAGCACCGGCUAACUUCGUG